ACAAAGGGGUAUGGCUUCAUUAUUUUUGGGCAUAAAAAGGGGGUGUUUAUUUAUAUUAUAAGAAAAAAGGGGGUUAAUUUAAUGAUGGGAUCCAACACAUUAGACACACACACCACCCUUAAUUUUCAGAUUUUUGGCUCUCUCUUCCAACAAAAGAAACCCUAAACAUUUUCCCUCCUCUCAUUUUUUUUUCCACAGCCGCCUCCCCGCCGGAGCUGGAGCUCCGGCGACGCUCCAAAACACAUCCCUUCCCAUUUUCCAGUUCUUCUCCCCCCCCCCCCCUUCGUUAUCCUCCUCUCUCCACUGCCAGUGACGCCCCAAACACUACCAUUGCCCCGCCAUUUUGUCACCCUUUACACCCUCUGCAACACCUCUCUCCACUGCCAAGCCAAUCCCGACGAACUCCCUCCGUCGGAGCUCCAGCAGAAACUCACCACGAAACCACAACCAGCAACCACACAACCUCACUACUCCCUCUCGUCCUCGUCUCCUUCGCUGCUCCGGUGAACCGGAGCAACCAGCAACCAAACUGCCACCAUCAAACAUCGUGAACCACCGCUGCCCACCACCACAAAAAAUAACCCUUUUCCCCGUCAUACCCAUCGCCACCGACAACCAGCAAGCACCCACACCACCAGUCUUCUCUUCUUCGUUCGCCUGUUGUUUCUGUUUGGGAUUGUAUUAUGCGCACAAUGAGAGUAUCAGGUUGGAUCCACUUCCGUGAUGUGUGGCGGAUCGUCGCUUCAGCUUUCUCUCGAGUUUCCAGGGUGAACAUGGUCGUCCACUGCCUUGAAGACUUUCUAUCUUUAUGUCCUAUUCUAUUCAGAGACAUAGACACUUUAUGUAUUAGUAUUCCAGAUUAUAUUAUUCCCCUUUAGAUGCUCUUGUGUUAUUCA